CUACUAUUUUAAAAGCAUGUGACCUUAUAGAUCUAUAAAAUGUGAGAAGUGUUCAACAAUCUUUGAUAUUACACAUAAACCCCACACUAAAAUGCCUUUCAAUAAGUAAAAUGAACCAUUUUAAAUACAGGGAAUUCUAAUUAGAUUGGCAUAGUUAAGGCCAAAAAUAUAAAGUAGACAUUGCUCCCUUAUUUAUCUUCAACCCUUGCGUUUAAGAGGCAAAUGAACACAAAACACAGGUGAAUCUUGCUUUGUUCUGAGACAGUGAAGAAAUUUCCCCAGUAUUUAAAUAUAUUUACAUAAACAGUUAUAUAAAUCUAAAUAAAACCAAUCUCCAAUAAGUUUUAAGAUGGCACUCACCAUCUUUGUGGAAAGUUGAACGUUACUAACGAAGUCUAAUCAUAUCUUUGGAAGGGGUAAACAGUAAUAGCACUUACUGAAUUGGAAUUACUAUUAAAUUCACAAACUGAACAUACUCAUUUAGCCACAAGCCAGUCUUAGUUUUAAAUCAGGACUGCCCAGCAAAAUAUUCUGUCAGUCAUUCAUGAUCUGAAUUCUAGUGUAUGAGAUCUAUUAAAGUAUGGUACAUGUAGAAAAGUCAUGAGACAUUUCUGUUUUGUAGUAAAUAAGGCCUUUGCCCAUUUUUAAAUGAAAUUAUUUUUUCCACUGUUGAUUUGAGUUCCUUGUGUAUUAUGUAUAUUAGUCCCCUGUUUGAGGAGUAAUUUGCAAAUAUUUUCUCCCAUUCAAGAGGUUGUCUCUUUACUCCAUUGGUUAUUUCUUUUGCUGUGCAGAAGCUUUUUAGUUUAAUAUACUUCCAUUUGUGUGUGUGUGUGUGUGUGUGUGUGUGUGUGUGUGUGUGUUUCUUUUUUUUCAGACAGGGUCUCAUUCUGUUGCCCAGGCUGGAGUGCAGUGGUAUGAUCUUGGCUCACUGCAGCCUCUGCCUCCUUGGUUCAAGCGAUCCUCCUACCUCAGCCUCCUGAGUAGCUGGGACUAAAGGUAUGUGCCACAACACUUGGCUAAUUUUUGUACUUUUUUUGGUAGAGAUGGGUUUUUACCAUGUUGCCCAGGCUGGUCUUGAACUCCUGGGAUCAAGCAAUCUGCCCACGUCGGCCUCCCAAAGUGCUGGGAUUACAGGUGUGAGCCACCAUGCCCAGCCUAUUUUUGUUUUUAUUGCCUGUGCUUUUGAGGUCUUAGCCAUAAAAAUCUUUGCCUAGACCAGUAAGUAUCCUGAGGAGUUUUCCCUGUUUUAUUCUAGUGGUUUUAUAGUUUCGGGUCUUACGUUUAAGUAUUUAAUCCAUUUUGAGUAGACUUUUGUACAUGGUGAAAGAUAGGGGUACAGUUUCAUUCUUUUUUUUUUUUUUUUUUUUUUUUUUUACUUCAGGUUAUGUAUCUGAUAGCCAGUUUCAUUCUUCUCAGUAUGGUUAUCCACUUGCCUCAGCACCAUUUAUUGAAAAGGGUGUCAUUUCUCCAAUGUAUGUUCUUGGUGGCUUUGUUGAAGAUCAGUUGGCUAUAAAUAUGUGGAUUUAUUUCUGGGUUCUCUAUUCUAUUAGAUUGGUCUAUUUGUCUAUUUUCAUUCCAACAUCAUGCUGUUUUGGUUACUUGUAGUCUGUUUUGAAGUCAGGUAGUGUGAUACCUCCAGCUUGGUUCUUUUUGCUUAGUAAUGCUUUGGCUAUUUGUGUUCUUUCUUGGUUCCAUACAAAUUUUGGAAUUUUUUUUUCUAUUUCUGUGAAAAAUGAUAUUAGUAUUUUUGAUAAGGAUUGUAUCAAAUCUGUAGAUUACUUUGGGCAGUAUGGUCAUUUUAAUGAUAUGAAUUCUUCCAAUCCAUGGGCACAAAAUGUCUUUCCAUUUAUUCGUAUCCUCUUCGAUUUCUUUCAUAGUGUUUUGUAGUUUUCCUUGUAGAGAUCUUUCACCUCCUUGGUUAAAUUUAUUUCUAGGUAUUUUUUUUUGGUAAUGGGAACUGCCUUCUGGAUUUCUUUUUUGCCUAUUUCAUUAUUGGAGUAUAGAAGUGCUACCAAUUUUUGUGUUUUUGUAUCCUGUAAUUUUACUGAAUUUAUCAGUUCUAGGAGUUUUUUGGUGGCACCUUUUGUUUUUUCUAGAUAUAAAAUUAUGUCGUCUGCAAAGAAGGAUCAUUUGGCUUUCUCUUUUCCAAAUUAGAUGCCUUUUAUUUCUUGUUCUUGUCUGAUUGCUCUGGCUAGGACUUCCAGUACUAUGUUGAAUAGAAGCGGUGAAAGUGGGCAUUCUUGACUUGUUCCAAUUAAUAGAGGAAAGGUUUUCACCAUUCAGUAUGAUGAUAGCUGUAGGUUUGUUCUAAUAUUGCCUUUAUUAUUUUGAGGUAUGAUUCUUCUAUGCCUAAUUUGUUGAGCAUUUUUAAUCCUGAAGCAGUGUUGAAUUUUGUCAAAUCUUUUUUCUGCAUCUAUUGAGAUUAACAUAUGGUUUUGCCCUUCAUUUUGUUGAUGUGGUGUAUCAUGUUUAUUGAUUUGCAUGUGCUGAACCAUCCUUGCAUUCCUAGUAUAAAUUUAAAUUGAUCAUGGUGUAUUAUCUUUUUGAUGUGCUGUUGCACUUAGUUUGCUAGUAUUUUGUUGAGGGUUUUUGCAUCUGUGUUAAUCAGGGAUAUUGGCCUGUACUUUUCUUUUUUUGUUGUGUCCUUGUCUGGUUUUGGCAUCAGAGUAAUACUGGCCUUACAGAAUGAGUAAGAGAUGAUUCCCUCCUUUUCAAGUUUUUGGAAUAGUUUGAGGAGGAUUGUUAUUAAUUUUUCUUUUUGCAUUUGGUAAAAUUCAGCUGUUAUUCCAUCUGGUCCUGGACUUUUCUUUGUUGAGAGGCUUUUUCUUACUGAUUCAAUCUUGCUACCUGUUAUUGGUCUGUUCAGGUUUUUUAUUUCAUCCUGAUUCAAUCUUGGUGGGUUUUGUUUCCAGGAAUUUAUUCAUUUCCUCUACAUAUUCCAGUUGGUUAUCAUAUAGUUAGUUGUUCAUAAUGAUCUCUGAUGAUCUUUUGUAUUUCUGUGGUAUCAGUUGUAAUGUAUCCUUUUUCAUUUCUGACUUUGUUUAUUUGGGUCUUCUCUCUUCUUGGUUAGUCUAGUGGUUUAUAAACUUUAUCUUUUCAAAGAGCAUAUAUAUAUAUUUGCUCUUUGAAAUAUUUGCUCUAUUUCACCACUUCUCUGAUCUUUGUGUUUUUUUCUUCUGUGAAUUUUGGGUUUGUUCUUGCUCUUCCAGUUUCUUGGAGUGUAUCAUUAGAUUGUUUAUUUAAAAUCUUUAUUUUUGUUGAUGUAGGCAUUUAUUGCUAUACACUUCUCUCUUAGCAUUGCUUUUGCUGUGUCCCACAGGUUUUGCAUGUUAUGUUUCUAUUUUCAAUUGUUUCAAGAAAUUUUUGAUUUUCAUCUUAAUGGUCAUUCAAGAGCAUGUUGUUUAAUUUCCAUGUAUUUGUAUAGUUUCCAAGUUCCUUCUGGUAUUGAUUUAUAUAGUUUUAUUCCAUUGUGGUCUGAGAAGAUAUUUGAUAUAAUUUUGAUUUUUGAAAAUUUGUUGAGACAUGCUUUCUGGCCUAACGUAUAGUCAAUCCUGGUGAAUGUACCAUGUCCUGAUGAGAAGAAUGUUUAUUCUGCAGUUGUUGGAUAAAAUGUUCUGUAAAUGUCUAUUAGGUCCAUUUGGUCUAAAGUCCAGUUUAAGUCUAAUGCUUCUCUGGGAGUGGGGAGUUGAAGUCUCCCACUAUUAUUGUAUCAGAGUCUAGCUCUUUCUUUAGAUCUAGUAAUAUUUGACUUAUGAAUCUGGGUGCUCCAGUGUUGGGUGCAUAUGUAUUUAAAAUUAUUGUAUCCUCUUGCUGGAUUUAUCCCUUUCUCAUUACAUAAUGACUGUCUUUGUCUUUUUUUAAAAACUGCUUUUGACUUAAAGUCUGUUUUAUCUGAUAUAAGUAUAACUGCUCCUGCUCACUUUUGAUUUCUGUUUGUGUGGAAUAUCUUUUUCCAACCUUUUACUUUCAGUCUGUAUCUGUCUUUACAGGUAAAGUGUGUUUCUUGUAGGCAGCAUAUAGUUGGUUCACUUUUUAAAAAUUUCUUAAGUCAGUCUACAUCUUUUAAGUGGAGAAUUGAAUCCAUUUACAUUCGAAGUAAUUAUUGAUAUAUGAGGUUUUAUUUGCUUUACUGUUAAUUAUUUUCUGAUUGCUUCCUUUUUUUUUUCUCUCUUAUUGUUUGUCCUUGUGGUUUGCUGUUCUCCUGUGGUGGUACCAUUUGAGUCUUUUCUCUUCCUCAUUUGUGUGUUUGCUUUAUAGUGAGUUUUAUAAGUUUGUGUAUUUUCAUGAUGCUAACUGUCAUCUUUUUGCUUUCGGGUUUCGGACUUUUUUGAGCAUAUAUUGUAAGGUCAGUUCAGUAGUGAUGAAAUCCCUCAGCAUUUGCUUGGGAAAGACUGUAUUUCUCCUUCAUUUAUGAAGAAUAAUUUUGCUGGAUGUAGUACCCUUGGGUAGGAGUAGUUUUUUCUUUCAGCACUUUGAAUAUAUCAUCCUAUUCUCUCCUGGUGUGUAAAGUAUCUGCUGAGAAGUCAACUGUUAGUCCAAUAGGGGCUCCUUUAUAAGUGACCAGAUGCUUUUCUCUGGCUACUUUUAGAAUCUUCUCUGUCAUUGACAGAGAAAGCAGAUCUAGCCUAUCAUUGAAGCUUUCAAGUAUAUUUUAUCUUUCAUUCCAGGAGUUCUCCAGUCCCAGAAUUUCUAUUUAGUCCUUUUUAAUGAUAUUUAUCUCUUUGUUACAUGUCUCAUUCAUAUUCUGAAUUGUUUUUCUUAUUUCUUUGUAUCGUUUUUCAGAAUUCUUUUGUAUCUCACUGAGCUUAUUUAGUAUCACACUUUUGAAUUCUGUUUUCAGAAUUUCAUGAAUUUCUUUUUGAUUGGCAUCUGUUGCUGGGAAAUUAUUGUGUUCUUGAGGUGUCAUAUUUCCUUGCUUUUUCAUGUUUCCUGCAUCCUUAAAUUGAUAUCUGUGCAUCUGCUGUAGUAGUAAUUUCUUUCAAUUUUUAAAAUUUGCUUUCAUAUGGGAGGACUUUUUCCUGAAGAUGUAUCAAUAAUGUUGCUUGGAUAGGGCCCUUUGGGCUUUGAUUCUGGGCGUGUGCAGUAGUGUAGUCUCUGCAUGAUUUCUUUGACUGUAGAUGGCAUGAAUGAUAUCUGUGAUUUCUUUGGUUGUUUAGGGUGCAUUUAUUAGUAGAGGCUGUGAUGAAGUUUUGCUGAGGACAAAGCUGCCAGGUGGGCCAGUCUUCAGGCCUCAGUGGUGGCAGCAGUGGGCUGAGUAUACUUGUUCUUAGCCCCAGGGUGACAUUUGCUAGCACUGGUGUUAGUGGGACCAGGCAGGUCAAUUCUUGAGCCUCCAGGUGGCUCACUCAAAUACUGGCAGUGGCAGUGGUGGGCCAGGAGGGUGAAUGAGUUCUGAGAUACCUAGGCAGCUGGCGUGGUAUGGGUGCUGGCAGUAGCAGUGGGAGGAUGAUUCUCUGGGUCUGAGUAGUGUGCACUGGUGUUGGCAGUGGCUGUGAUAUGAGGUCACCAUCCACAGCCCCAGACAUGUAGCUGACAGGCUUGCCUGCUCUUGGUGGCAGCAGCGCAGCAGCACCGCAGCACCACAUAGAAGUGGGAAGGGACCCUGUCUUUUGCCCAUAAGCCUGGGCAUGAAAGCCACAUUGCCAGUUGGGGCGUGGUUGCCACUCACAGCCCCAGACAGGCAGCCUUUUGUCUUGCCUGUCCUAGCUCCUGGUGGCAGCAGCAGUGGCUACAGCUGCAGCAGUGUGACAAAGGGGAGAGAAGGUCCUGCUGUCUAUGGGCAAGCCUGAGCACAGAGGCUGCUCUGCUGGUGGGGGUGGGGUCACUUCUCUCAGCCCCAGACUGUCAGCUCUCAGGAUUAUCCACCUCGGCUCCUGGUUGCAGCAACUGCUGUGGCAGUAUGUGGAGCGAGCACCUCUGGCUCCCAACUUCUCCUGACUGAGCUGGCCACUCGCUUCCUUCUCCUCUGUGCCUCAGGCGCUUGCUGAGACUUCUCUGUUGGACUCUAGUGCUCUCUCCUGGAUGUUCUAUUCGAGCUCUGCCGCACUAAGCUCUCUACAUGGCCGAGGCACCAGACCAGAAUGCGCCCUUUCGACAGGCAGAGAGAGCCAAAGGGGAAAAGAGCUGAGUCAAGGCUGCCAAGUUCCUGCUUCCAGCCCUACCAGCCGGUCACUCGCGCCUUGCAAUGAGGAAACCAGGAGUCCUAUCUAGAGCCUUUCCAUAGUUGUGGGAAAGAAGAUGGGUAAAGUUAUUGUUAAUCUACAGAGGAAGGAAUGAUGCCAAGUUUUUCAAGGCUUCCAGAGUCACAGGAGGAGUCACUUGGUAAAUCCAGGAGCAGAAACCAGGUUAAGUGACUAGCCUAAGGUAAGAGCCAGAUUUGGAGCUUGGAAUCUGAUAGCCCUUAGGGUGCUUUAUUCCCUGAGCCAAUCCACACUUCUACCUCAGUAAAGGAAUCAACUGAGGGCUCAGCUUUUCCUCUGCAAGAAACCUGCUCUCUGGGACAGCCCAAGGGAGCUCAUUCAUCCCUUCCACCACGUGAGGAUGUGGUGAGAAUGUGCUAUCUAUGAACCAGGAAGCAGACCCUCAGCAGACACUGAAUCUACCAGUCCCUUGACCUUGGACAUCCUAACCUCCAGAACUCAUGCACAAGCAAUUCUAAACAAGGCUCAGCGAUAACAUAUCCCUUCCCAUGAGUGGAUCACUCCCACUGCCUCUUUCACACACCCUGCCUCCUGCAAGCCAAUGCUGUGAAGCCCAACCUAGCCAUGUGGCAAGGGAGAUGUCUGCCCAGUCUCCAGCUGCUCCAGCCAUCCCAGCUCAGGCACCAGUCACUUGAGGGAAGAAGCCAUCUUGGAUGUCCAGCCUAGUCUGGCUUUGAGAAGACUCUAGCUCCUGCUGCCAUCUUACUGCAGUUUCAUGAAGGAUCAAAUGUCAUAGCCAUCCAGCCGAGCCUUGGCAAACUACAGACUGUAUAAGGAGUUUUUUUAGGGCACUCUGUUACGCAGCAAUUGAUAAACAAAAAAGAGAAGAGGCAUGCAAGAAGAAGAGAGCCUCUUCUCUCUUAAAAUAGCAACAAGUGUCCUUGGCUGUGUGGGGUCUCUAGAGAUCAGCUAAUCUUGAUGUUGACAGAGGCCAAAAGUACUUGAUUUCACUACCGGAUGGAAAUUAUAUCUGUGUAGAUGUUGCUAAGCAACAAGAGAUCAGAAACCUAUAAGGAGUGACCAUAUAAUGCAAAGCAUUGAGUCAGCCAACUGAGUUCCUCCUGCACUUAUUUUUUAGAACCUGCUUAUAAAAGAAGCAAUGUCCACAAUGUGUGGGGGGAGGAAAGUCUCCUGGGACCUUAAGAGGAAAGCGUACACUUCAUCAUAAUUUGCCUGCAAUGAUCAGCAAACGAAAAAGUCAAUACACAACCUGAAAAAUGGUCAUUGUUUGUGAUUUAAAAGAAGAGUAAGCUUUAGGAAUAAAUACUAACAUCACUGGGAACUCUGUCUCAUCCUCACAUCCUUUGAAAAGGCAUUUAUGAUAAUGUAAGCACAAAGAACAAAACUAUUUAAAGACCACACACAUACCCUCUCAAACAAAUCACCUCCCUUUGGGAAAGCAACAUGUUCACUGUGAUAAUUCAGCAUCAGGACCUGAGGUGGUGGGAACAGCUUUGGCUGGUUUGCUGCUCUCCAAGGAGCUCCUGUGCCGGCCGCAUUGGACAAGCAUCUCUGCCCUGCGGCGCAGAGUCUCCAGGACCAGCAGAUGGCGGACUUGCACAGUCCACACAUUUUCCAGGUUCUCAAGUGUUCGCUUCCUGGAUGUUCUGACUAAUUUAAACUAUGGUUAAUUGAAGACUGAAAUAUUCGGGAAACUAUGACAGGAACAAUUUGCUACGGACAGUUUCCACCUGUACUCUCAAGACUUAGAAGCCAUAUGGAUAGAAUGAAAUAGGAAUUGGUGGUGUCUUGGAAUAUCUGCUUCAGGACGAUAAUGAAACUAAUGAUUUAGGGCAGUAGAAGAAGCCGUGGGAGGAACUUUCACAUUUGGCGAGCAUGGAAUCCCCUCUGCAGUUAUGUUUGCCUGUGCAUCUCCGGCAGCUGGAGGACGAAUCACAUCAGGCUGAUGAGUGUGUCACGCUCUUCAUCCCCCAAGAGCUGUGAUGAAGACCAAGACAAACAGUAGAUUAACAGUGCUACCUUUUAUAAGGCUGAUUAGUUCCUAAAAUAUGCUGAAAGGAAACAAAACCAAAAAGAAAAAAGAGUGGAAAGGGGGGUGAGACAGAAACCUUUGUCGAGUCUCAUUCCAUCACCCAGGCUGGAGUGCAGCGGCGUGAUCUUGGCAACCUCCACCUCCCAGGCUCAAGAAAUCCUCCCACCUCAGCCUCCCAAUAGCUGGAUCUACAGGCGUACACCACCACAAUCAGCUGUAUUUUUUGUAGAGACUGGGUUUCGCCAUGUUGCCCAGGGUGGUCAUGAACUUGUGAGCUCAAGUGAUCUGCCCGCCUCAGCCUCCCAAAGUGCUGGGAUUACAGGCAUGAGCCACCGCCCCUGGCCUAAUAAAAUUUAUUUUUAAAAAAGGACCUAUGGCGAAUCAUUUUUACAAAUAAAAUCUAUAGUCAAGGUGCAGUAUGGGAACAGCAUUUUACUGAGUAAUCUUGCAAAGAAUAUGUCAUUAACCACUACACUAAUCUUGUUCUUGAUGUACACCAGCAACAAAUACAAAGAAAAAUUUAGUCUCUUACUUUAACAGGUUCCAAGUAUGCCACAUCGUAUUUUUUGCCAAAUAAUUUAUUAGUAAGAGGAGAUGACUCUAGUAAGUUAUAGAAGUUAUAUUGAAUUUUUAAAAAAAAUUUUUCAAAACUAUUCUGUGGGGAUUGAGGACAGAUGAACUACAAAGGAACAUGAUGGAACUUUCUGGGGUGAGCAUAAUGUUCUAUAUGAUGAUAGGGGCUUGGGUUACAUAAGUGAGCAUUUAUGAAAACUGUACACUUUUUGUGCAUUUCAUUGUGUAUAAAGUUUACUUCAAAAAAAACAUUGAACUCCAAUUAAUUACAUGCAUGCUGAACUAUUUAGAGUGAAGUAUACUGAUGCCUGUUGUUUACUUUGAAGUAUUUCAAAACAGUAAAAUGGAUAGAGGAAUGUGUAAUAAAUUGGUACACGAUAAGGAAAAUAUAGUCAAUUAUGUUAAUAGUAAAAUCUAGAUGGUGAGUAAACUGGUG
rnacentral:lncRNA from 10 species